CCUACGGGUGGCAGCAGUGAGGAAUAUUGGUCAAUGGGCGCGAGCCUGAACCAGCCAAGUAGCGUGAAGGAUGACUGCCCUACGGGUUGUAAACUUCUGUUAUAAAGGAAUAAAGUGAGGCACGUGUGCCUUUUUGUAUGUACGUUAUGAAUAAGGAUCGGCUAACUCCGUGCCAGCAGCCGCGGUAAGACGGAGGAUCCGAGCGUUAGCCGGAUUUAUUGGGUUUAAAGGGAGCGUAGAUGGGUUGUUAAGUCAGUUGUGAAAGUUUGCUGCUCAACCGUAAAAUUGCAAUUGAUACGGGCAGUCUUGAGUACAGUUGAGGUAGGCUGAAUUCGUGGUGUAGCUGUUACAUUCUUAGAUAUCACGCAGAACUCCGAUUGCGACGGCAGCUUACUAAACUGCCACUGACAUUGAUGCUCG
rnacentral:rRNA from 1 species